rnacentral:lncRNA from 1 species
UAAUUAUGCGACUUCUGACUGAUGUCCCUUUGCUUCUUUCUUUUAGAAGGGUGGAGGAGCUCUCAUAAACACCAUGAAGAACAAGACCAAUCCUGCUGUCAAGAAUGUAUACCAAUAUGCAAAAGACCAUGCCAAAAUGGGACUGAAAUCUAUGCGGAACCACUUACUAGAAAAGUCUCGUCCCAGACGACCACAGAGAACUAACAGCAAGACAGAACUAGAAGUUGAAAG